rnacentral:rRNA from 1 species
UACGUAGGAGGCAAGCGUUGUCCGGAAUCACUGGGCGUAAAGCGCGUGUAGGUGGAAGAGGAAGUCUGCUGUGAAAGCGCCUGGCUUAACCGGGCGAGGUCGGUGGAAACUCCUCAUCUGGAGGGCGGUAGAGGGGGGUGGAAUUCCGGGUGUAGUGGUGAAAUGCGUAGAGAUCCGGAGGAACACCUGUGGCGAAGGCGGCCCCCUGGGCCAGCACUGACGCUCAUGCACGAAAGCGUGGGGAGCAAACAGG